rnacentral:rRNA from 1 species
UACGAAGGGGGGCUAGCGUUGUUCGGAAUUACUGGGCGUAAAGUGUGCGCAGGCGGCCGCGCAAGUCGAGUGUGAAAGCCCCGAGCUUAACUUGGGAAUUGCGCUCGAAACUACGUGGCUGGAGUGUGGCAGAGGAAGGUGGAAUUCCACGUGUAGCGGUGAAAUGCGUAGAGAUGUGGAGGAACACCGAUGGCGAAGGCAGCCUUCUGGGCCAACACUGACGCUCAUGCACGAAAGCGUGGGGAGCAAACAGG